GUCUGCAACUCGACUACAUGAAGCUGGAAUCGCUAGUAAUCGCGAAUCAGAAUGUCGCGGUGAAUACGUUCCCGGGUCUUGUACACACCGCCCGUCACACCAUGGGAGUCAGUAACGCCCGAAGUCAGUGACCGAACCUGAGAGAGAAGGAGCUGCCGAAGGCGGGACGGAUAACUGGGGUGAAGUCGUAACAAGGUACC
rnacentral:rRNA from 1 species